rnacentral:rRNA from 1 species
CAGCCGCCGCGGGAAUACGUAGGUGGCAAGCGUUGUCCGGAAUUAUUGGGCGUAAAGGGCUCGCAGGCGGUUUCUUAAGUCUGAUGUGAAAGCCCCCGGCUCAACCGGGGAUGGUCAUUGGAAACUGGGAAACUUGAGUGCAGAAGAGGAGAGUGGAAUUCCACGUGUAGCGGUGAAAUGCGUAGAGAUGUGGAGGAACACCAGUGGCGAAGGCGACUCUCUGGUCUGUAACUGACGCUGAGGAGCGAAAGCGUGGGGAGCGAACAGGAUUAGAUACCCCGGUAGUCCCUGUCUCUUAUAC